AUUGAACGCUGGCGGCAGGCCUAACACAUGCAAGUCGAACGAGUGGCGGACGGGUGAGUAAUGUCUGGGAAACUGCCCGAUGGACGGGGAUAACUCCUGGAAACGGUAGCUAAUACCGCAUACCAUCGGAUGUGCCCAGAUGGGAGUAGCUUGUAGGUGAGGUAACGGCUCACCUAGGCGACGAUCCCUAGCUGGUCUGAGAGGAUGACCAGCCACACGGGAACUGAGACACGGUGCAGAAGCCUAAGGGAGGCAGCAGUGGUGAAGAGUGCACAAGGGGCGCAAGCCUGAUACAGCCAUGCCGCGUGUAGGAAGAAGGCCUUCGGGUUGUAAAGUACUUUCAGCGAGGAGGCGGUACACGAAGAAGAAGCACAGGCUAACUCCGUGCCAGCAGCCGCGGUAAUAC
rnacentral:rRNA from 1 species